AAAAGAAAAAAGACCCCAGUACCUGGGUAACCCCCGCCUGCGUUUCUGGCCCUUUGGGCGCCAGAGGGGCUAAGGGGAAGCCCUCCAGCUGGACACCCAGGGAUGCCCCCUAAAUGCCUAUCAUUGCUCCUGCGCUGCCCCCACCCCCGGUCAACCUGCUGUGCCUUGGUGGCUUCCAAACUUGCCCCCCUUUAUGUUUUGAAACCCUGAAGGUCGGAGUGUAAAGCCGUGGUAGAGUCAACUUCUGUCUGAGCCGAGGAUUUCUGGGACUUGCCAGCCUCGUCUCCGUGUGUCUGAUUGGACACCUGGCAGGUCCGGGCGCUCCCCCUCCUUGAGCCGGCGACACCAGGACGGGUCAGACCGUCCUGGCCUAGAGGAGGUCACCGCUGGGGAGGAAAAGAGGGUGACGGAGAUUCUGCCGCACAGAUGGGUGUCUGUGUGCAGGCUGUUCUGGUGGAAGCGUGUACUGUGUCAGGAGCUGCGGGUGCCUGCGUGUGCACGUGUGUGUUUAGUUGCUGAGACUUGAAAUAUAUAUGUCGUGGUAACAA